CCCAGCUGCCCACAACACUGCUUGUGGACCCUGUUGCAAGGGGCGUGCAUCCAUUUCCAGGGCAUGGUGAGCGGAAACUUCUUAUCCGUGCACCGUUCCAUCACGUACUCCGUACAAGAGUCCAAUUUCUUCUGGUCCCGUUGGCACUGGUCAACACUAGCCCCACCAUCAUCGGCUGCGUACCCUGCCGCCGCGUAUUGUGCAAAGGCGGUGCUUAAUACCAGAGAGCAAGGACAACUAGGAGGAAGAAGGCCAUCAUGUUGUCAAUACUGUUUUGGUGGUGGUGAUUGGUGAAGAUGUAUAUAUGAGAUAAGACCCCUCUUUUUUAUAGAUGAGGCGACACAAUUUCCUUGUGCCAUUAAUUGUCUAUUGCUUUGUCUAGUGCCUACAUAUUUAGUUGGGGUACUAAAUCAAAGUAACUUGAUCUGCAAAUGCACACAAGUGUUCAAGUUGUUGGCACAGAUGGUGUUAUCGUCAUUCUCUUUUUCUCAAGAUAAACCAUAAGUAAUGUUGUAGCAAUGCUUAAGACCUUAUUUUUCUGUGGAACUGAACAUGCACAUGAUAAGUAAUGCAUAAGAGUGUUGCCCCCUUCUAACCAGCCAUGCUUUUGAUUUGUCACGCAUUUAGAAUCACGUGGUACUAAAACAUAUUGAUGUUGUUUCAUGUAUUGUAACAUGAGGAGAGAUGUGUGGCGCGUCCUCUCUCACUUUGGUUUUGUAUCAUAUUCAUACCAAGAAAACCAUAUGGUGUGAAGCUUCUUGCUCCGUUCUUUUGUGAAAUAAGACUAGUAGGACUCCACAAGAUGAAUCCAGAUGUUCCUAUCUUGUACCGAGUUUGUUAGAGAUUGUGUUGUACACGCUAGUGAUUCACUAGAUGAUGUAUUCUUCUAGCCAGACAUGCUUUUGCUUUGUCAUAUAUUUGGAAUCAUGUGGUACUUAAAUAGAUCGAUGGUGCUUCAUGUACUCUACACCAUGAGGGAGAUGUGUGGCGUGUCUUAUCUUGCUUUUAGUUUCCUAUCAUACCAAGAAAAUCAUACGUCAUGAAGCUAGUAGUACUUGGCUGAACCAAAUCGAAGCGGGUACCUGAACUAUUUAUGGCUGAGUAGUAUAAACCGAAUGAGCUAGUUUUUAUUUAUUUUUUUUAGAAAAGGAGGAUGACCCCCGGCCUCUGCAUCUGGGAGAUGCAUACGGCCAUUUUAUCGAUUAUUCUCGAGGACCUUACAAAGUAGUACAACAAUAUGCCUGAAUCCGCCAUCUUGGCAACAUCUGCCGCUACUCCAAUCCAUAUAAUGAAGGGGUGCAAGCUGGGCCAAAUACCCAGACCUCUCACCUAAGCCUAACAUCUAAAGCCGGAGGCCCCGACCAAGCCACGUACCGGGUCCGGGGCACAAACCGGUCUGACGCACUCACAUGUGUCGUCGCCGCCAUCUUCCACUAGUCCAUCUUCAGAGCAGAUUGAGGUGCCAACCUUGGUAGGUGUCUCCGCCAUCGACGUCACCAUGACGCCAAACGACGAUCUCCACCUACGUGAGUCCAUCUCCAAGCAACGGACGCAGAUCCAUGCUAGGAUAGGGCCGCAGCACCGCCGUCGCCCACCACCCACAAGCGCCACCCAGCCCCAAGGUUCCCAAAGCGGCGCCUUCAAGAAGGGAACGGCGCCGUGAGCGCCGUCGCCGACCAAUAAAGUUAGGGCUUUCGCCCGGGAGACCUAGGGGAAGGGGAAGUGAGGGGAUCAGUCCAUACCGAUGCCUCCAAGGAGGGGAACGACGCCCUCAGGCGUCGCCGUCGACGUGGCCGGCCAUGGCCGACCAGGGAUUUCUCCCGAACUAGAUCCCCGCCACCACCAGCGCCUCCUGUACAGAACCGGCGACCCAAGGAAGCGCGGCCCGACGAGGUUGGCCUGCACGCCAAACAGGGGAGGAGGGGAGACGCCAGAUCGCGCGCACCGGCCACCGCAAAAACCGCCGCCGGCCGCCAACGACCACCGGAUCCCGCCGCCCGUGCGGCCGGGACGCCAGAUCCACCGCCCGCACGGCUGCUUGCCGGCCGUGCCUUGCCAAUGAAGCCGCCGCUCUAGAUCCGGGGUUCCCCACGCAGAGGCAGGGCAACCGAGGCCCCGCCGCCACCAUCCUUGGCGCCCCGGGCUUGCCCGGCGGCUGCCUCAGGCGGCGGCGAGGAAGAGAAGAGGAGGAGGGGCGGCUAGGGAGAACCAAAUCGGCUAGCACUGUAUAUAGGCUAGUUACUAGUGAUUGAGUGGAUUCAGAGCGCCUUCCCCGAGCAAGAAUCAUCUGGUCCUUCUUGCAUCGCGCAUGCCGCAUAUCCACCCCUGUCUGAACUUCCUUGUACAACAUGAACUAUGAAGGCGAUGCUUGCUGUGAGAGCAAGGAGCGAGAUCUACAUGAAGCAGCUAGACUGUUUUCAUUUUGUCAAUGGUGUCCUGUUGGUGGUGAAGAUGCAUAGAGAUUAGAUGAGGCCUCUCUGUACUUACGAUGAGAUUUUUUUUUUCCGCAGAAAAGAGGUUGAUACAAUUGUUCAAACAAAUUACAAAGGAGAUCCCUACGGCGAAUACUUUGAACCCAGAUGGUGGGGUUGUACAUCUGCUCUCAUAACCAAGUGAGCAAGUUUCACUUCCAUAGAUUUAAACAUUUGGUGAAACUAGAUUUGUACUAUUGAGCAAGUUGUUGGAUGGACGAAUAAGGUUAUAGUGCAGAAGAUACAUGGAGUGGUUGUGCAUACAAAUUUGUGGGUUCGAUUAACAUGUCAAUGACUACUAUAGAUUUCUUUUAGCUAUCUGGUAGACUAAAAAAAGAGAGAAUAAUCAUGUUAGAUACAAAAUAUAGUUGUCUUGUAUGAAUCAUUUAAUCUUCUUCUCCUUCUUGUGAAGUAUCGAACAAGUUGUAUAUUUUUAUUAUUGUUAAAGAAGCACACACAUGCACACAAACCACCACCAACAAACUCAAUACACAGGUAUCUCGAACACAGAUCAAUAUACAAGGGUGAUUUUAUUCAUAGAUCAUCACUCAGCACUCUUAUUUGCCACUUGCUAUGAUAUGUGACAUUUUAUUGGCACGAAUAGAGGCUAUAUCAUCACCAGUAAUAGCCACUAGGGAACUUGCAGUCGGC